rnacentral:rRNA from 1 species
AUUGAACGCUGGCGGCAUGCUUUACACAUGCAAGUCGAACGGUAACAGGCCGCAAGGUGCUGACGAGUGGCGAACGGGUGAGUAAUGCAUCGGAACGGGCCCAGCCGUGGGGGAUAACGCAGCGAAAGCUGCGCUAAUACCGCAUACGAUCUAUGGAUGAAAGCGGGGGAACGUAAGGCCUCGCGCGAUUGGAGCGGCCGAUGUCAGAUUAGGUAGUUGGUGGGGUAAAGGCUCACCAAGCCGACGAUCUGUAGCUGGUCUGAGAGGACGACCAGCCACACUGGGACUGAGACACGGCCCAGACUCCUACGGGAGGCAGCAGUGGGGAAUUUUGGACAAUGGGCGCAAGCCUGAUCCAGCAAUGCCGCGUGCAGGAAGAAGGCCUUCGGGUUGUAAACUGCUUUUGUACGGAACGAAACGGUCCUGGUUAAUACCCGGGGCUAAUGACGGUACCGUAAGAAUAAGCACCGGCUAACUACGUGCCAGCAGCCGCCGUAAUAC